UGAUAAUCCGGUUGACUCGGUUCGAUUGGGAACCAAAAUUGCGACAUUUGUUACAUUUUCAUUUGCUUUGGUUCGUUUUCGCACUGAAAAACCUGUCUCCCCUACCCGUCGCCCGUGGGGGCGCUGCACAAACAACUACUGAAGGAAUCGACACAAAACCUCUGAAGAAGGCCAGCGCAACUUCCUCCUUCAUGAAAUGUAAACAAAAAUGCAGCGGCGUCUGAUUUUAGCGGCUGUAGAAUUUCUCCACUGGUAUACAUUACUAGUUUGGACAUCGCCUGUUAGCCGCUAACGCUAGCGACGCUCCGGUAUACGCCAUUACUGUCGAUCCUCUCUGUCGAGUCUUUCUUCAGAGGUUUUGGUGUGAAAAAGGCCUUGAAGGCAUCGAAAGCAGCUUCCGCGCUCGACAGAGGUCUAGUUGGCUCGACUGGUUUUGUGUCUUCUUCUGCUUGAGGAGUAAUCUGGUCCUGAAAUCCGUUCUGGGUCUUCGUGUCACUCUGUUUUUCUGUGAAAACUGGACUUUGUGCAAACGGAGGACUCUGUUUG